UACGUAGGGGGCAAGCGUUGUCCGGAUUUAUUGGGCGUAAAGAGCGUGUAGGCGGCCAGAUAGGUCCGUUGUGAAAACUGGAGGCUUAACCUCCAGCUGUCGAUGGAAACCAUCUGGCUAGAGUCCGGAAGAGGAGAGUGGAAUUCCUGGUGUAGCGGUGAAAUGCGCAGAUAUCAGGAAGAACACCCGUGGCGAAGGCGGCUCUCUGGGACGGUACUGACGCUGAGACGCGAAAGCGUGGGGAGCGAACAGG
rnacentral:rRNA from 2 species